UACGUAGGGGGGCAAGCGUUUGUCCGGAUUUAUUGGGCGUAAAGCGCACGCAGGCGGUGAGGCAAGUUUCAAGUGACAGGUGGUGGCUUAACUGCCACAGGCCUUGGAAAACUGCCGCACUUGAGGGCUUGAGAGGGACGCGGAAUUCCAGGUGGAGCGGUGAAAUGCGUAGAGAUCUGGAAGAACACCAAAGGCGAAGGCAGCGUCCUGGCGAGCAACUGACGCUCAUGUGCGAAAGCUAGGGGAGCGAACGGG
rnacentral:rRNA from 1 species